CCAGUUUGGGUUUUAAUGUUGUGAUCAGUGACCCGAGUUAAGCGGCUAAUGGAGUAACCUUCAAGGAAUGACGUGUGGACACAUAGAAGAGCACUGAUGGGUGAAAAUGAGUUUAUCAUGAAAUGUACAAGGCAUCACCAGAGAAGAAACAGCAAAGAUAUCGAAUAUCCAAAUUUGUCUUACUCUACAUUGGACAGAAUCAUCUGGAUUGCCAAGUAUCUGCAACAAAGGAUCAUUAGGUUAUUAAGAGAAAGUUAUAAUUGGCUAAAAUGUUAUAUGCAUUCACAGUAAGCUGCAAGUCCACAAGCAGUUCUUGCAUUCUUUAUUGUAAGAGAGCACCAUUCCAAACUUCAUAAACAAGUAUGGUAUGUUUCUCUGAUUAUGAACAUUGUGCUAAAAAACAGACAGCAGACAGAAAAAGAUUUGGGUAUGGCCACCCUGUACACUGAAAAAUAGGCAAAAAUAAAGAAAAGACGGCUUUACAACUAGAGUUCGAAAAGGAACUGACCAACAGGAUGAAUCUGGGGUAAAAAUAUGAUGGAUUAGAGGAAGAGGUGGAGUCUGGGAGGCCAGAACAGGAACUGAUGUGACAAGUGGAUGGGUUCUGGGUAACGGAAGCCAGAAAUGAGGUCAUCAGUGGGUGGAGCCGUGGUGAUGUCACUGAGAGGCCCAGUCUUCGGCUGGUCUGCAGAGGGACAAGAGGAGAAAGGAUCACACGUCAGCGCCAACCCCUGGUCUGGCUGAGAAAUAACACUUUGAGCCUGUAAAGUGUCUCCCAUGUGCACGUGUGUGACAACAUGUACAAAUUAUUGGAACAUUUUAGAUAUUUUCAGAAAUGUGUGACAAAACAACCAAGAGAAUGAUAGGAUACAUGUUUUGCAUAUUGAGCAAAAAAUUCCAAUAAAGUCUGGCUGCAGAUAUCAACUCUGAGGCUACAAGCACUGAGAAAUUGGACAUACAAUGAGAGGCUGAGCCUGGACUUGACAUACGACCGGAUUUAGAUGAAAAUACGGGAUAGCUGGUGACGUGUUUCACAGGACCAGGUGUAUUAAGUAAAUGAAUGAUGGCACUUCUUUGUAUCUCAGAUAUCUCAGGUACUCUGAUUUUAUUCAGGUCUUGUCUGUGUUCAUUCUGGAGGGAUCUCCCAUUAAUGUGAUGUCUUUUCAUUCACUGUUUUAUUUUAUUCUACAGUAUAUAUUUUUCAUGCCAGAGUGUUUAAUUUGCACAGGUUGCUGAGUAGAGCAGUUGUUAUUCUGAAUGUUUUUUAAACAUUUUAUGGUAUGUAGCAGACCCUCGAGGACUUAACUUUCAUGGUGUGCUGAUUUUCUAUAAAUAGGUUUUGGUGAAUACUCUUUGUUACUGACUGUCUUUGUACCAGUUGCAAAAAGUUUUGUUUUUGCUGUUCAAAAACUUGGUUAUUGUUUGUUACAAAAAAGAUUUAUCAGUGUACAAUUAGCUUGAGCAUUAUGACAUUUUUAUUGUUGACUUCUGUUCUAUCGUUGAUUCUCAGCGUCACUACUACAUGAAUUCAACAACUGAGACACUGUAUGUCUGCACACUCCAGGCUCCAAUGAUGCCUGAGUCAUUUACUGUUUCUCAGAAUGGCAAGA